rnacentral:rRNA from 1 species
AUUGAACGCUGGCGGCAUGCUUUACACAUGCAAGUCGAACGGUAACAGGGAGCUUGCUCCGCUGACGAGUGGCGAACGGGUGAGUAAUGCAUCGGAACAUGCCCAGUCAUGGGGGAUAACUACGCGAAAGCGUAGCUAAUACCGCAUACGCCCUGAGGGGGAAAGUGGGGGAUCUUAGGACCUCACGUGAUUGGAGUGGCCGAUGUCAGAUUAGCUAGUUGGUGGGGUAAGGGCCCACCAAGGCGACGAUCCGUAGCUGGUCUGAGAGGACGGACAGCCACACUGGGACUGAGACACGGCCCAGACUCCUACGGGAGGCAGCAGUGGGGAAUAUUGGACAAUGGGGGGAACCCUGAUCCAGCAAUGCCGCGUGUGUGAAGAAGGCCUGCGGGUUGUAAAGCACUUUAGUUAGGGAGGAGUGUUUGAAGGUUAAGAGCUAUCAAGCAGGACGUUACCUAAAGAAUAAGCACCGGCUAACUCCGUGCCAGCAGCCG